rnacentral:rRNA from 1 species
GACGAACGCUGGCGGCGUGCUUAACACAUGCAAGUCGAACGGAAAGGCCUGCUUUCCCUUGUGGAUUGCGGGUACUCGAGUGGCGAACGGGUGAGUAACACGUGAGUGAUCUGCCCCCAACUUGGGUAUAAGCCUGGGAAACUGGGUCUAAUUCCCGAUAGGACUGCAGGGUGGUGCCUGUGGUGGAAAACGAUUUUCUAGUGGUUGGGGAUGAGCUCGCGGCCUAUCAGCUUGUUGGUGGGGUAAUGGCCUACCAAGGCGGCGACGGGUAGCCGGCCUGAGAGGGUGGACGGCGACAUUGGGACUGGGUUACGGCCCAGACUCCUACGGGAGGCAGCAGUGGGGAAUAUUGGACAAUGGGCGGAAGCCUGAUGCAGCGACGCCGCGUGGGGGAUGACGGCCUUCGGGUUGUAAACUCCUUUCGACCGCGAGGAAGCCACCUGGUUGGAAGGGUGGUGACGGUAGUGGUAGAAGAAGCACCGGCUAACUACGUG